AACAAAACAAAAAAACUAAAAAAAAAAAAACACCAAAAAAAAAAAAAACUGGCCUGGAGUGUAACAGUGUUUUAAAUCAAACUGCAGGGUGGCCAGACCCAAACACCUACUUUGAAAAGCAUCGAGGUGACAGCUCUGAAAUCAGACACUAACUUGAAAUUGAAGGGUUUGGUCCCAAGGUGCAUCUCUAGGUGCAAAAUGAUCCCCAUCUCUGCUCCAAGCAGGCCGGCCAAGGUCUGUUUCUGAGGCAGAAGCCAUGUAGCUGGGGUUAAUGGUAGGCUGAGUUCAAAGUGAAAGAGAGGCUAAUCUAACACAAGUUCAGAUGCGCAUUAAUGUGGCUACCUAUGUGCCAGUGGCUUGUUAAGGUAAGCAAAAGCUGACACCUGCCAGUAUAUCCCAGUAUAUCUUGCCACAGGGAAAAUACCACAAACUGGGUGUGGUGCUGGAUCAAAGUGACAGUCUUGGACCCUGCCAAGCCUCAGAAUCUUCCCCAGUGGGUUCUCCAAACGUCUCCAUGCCAUUGACUUAAUCACUAUAUAAUAAAAAUUCAGCUUCAUCCAUAUGACAUGAUUGCUGUUCAGGACAGUGACUAGACAAAGCAGGGACCUUUUCUGUGCGGCAAGGUCCCAGGUAGCCGUAAAGAUUGCAUCACCAGCCCAUCUUCAUGGCAAGGUUUCCAAAACACAGGUGUGGGGGCACCCACAGUGCUUUUCCUAAGUGUCUGAAGCAGCAGACAAACAGAGCCCUUUGCACACAACUCAGCCACGCAGUGCUUGCGUGCAUCUCAAGCCCACACUUUUCACAGCACAGGCACUAGGCUGCCACUGUGGGACACUUUCACCAGACAGACUCACAUAUGACAGUGAUGCUAAGUGGUAACAAUGUCCCUACACCUGCACUAGAACAACCCCAGGCAAGCAUCCCCAAGCUGCCUUCUCAUCCUGCAAUCCUUCUCUGAUGCAGAAGCUCUAGUGCUUGCCGCUCUCAGCACAGACUAGAGAAGGGAUUUCUUAGGAGAGGACUAGUAAGGGAGCAUGUCACUAUGGAUGCUAACAUAAACCCUUCUUGGUGGACACAUCCACCCUCAAGCAAUGCUUAGUAUAUGCCCUCAGCACUGUGGGACAGCACUUGGCCAGACCACUGCCCGGGCCACACUCUGGCUGCAUUGCAUGAAGAAAGGGAAUACACAGUACACCAAGAGCUGGGACCCCCCAUGCCUCACUCCAACCCACACAUCCCGCCUUUUGGAAGGAAGCCCAGAGCAUCAGUCCCGGCCUCCUGUGGGGCUGGGAGGCAGCCAACAUGCUCUGCAGGCCAAGCCCCAACAAGGCACCGCACACAGAUCCUGCCAAGGGGCCAGGCUCGUCUCUGCUAAUUGCUAUCUUAGCUUCUGAACCAACACGAGGAAAACAGAGGGGCCUUAUUUCUUGUGGUGAAUGCUAAAUGCUCUGCUGUGCGUCCCCAUCUGCCACUAACAGCCACUGCUGACAGUGGAAAGAAAUCUUGAGCAAGUUUCUGAUUUAUUUCUCCUCCUGAACUUCAUAGCAAGCCCAUCAGACUCCAGAAGAGGUACACAUACAGAGCGCAUACCCACACGUGCAGGCACAGAGAGGUGUCCAAAGGUAGAGUGCUUACAUGUACUCCCCUCUGCCACACCUGCAAGCUGUGUUCCAUCUUGGCAAGAGAGUAGCGCUAUCACAGUAGAAAUGUAAAGCCUCUUCUAGGUGAGAUGUCAGCAGCUGUCCUCUGGACGGACUGCUGCUGCUGCCGCUGCUGCUGCUGCUGCUGCUGUAUACAAGCACAAGUCAGUGGGAUUCUUGUCUUCAUGCAGGAAUAUUGCCUAAUUCUCUGUUUGAUUGAAAAAACUUCCUACAUGACAUCAAAGCAGUGUUCUGUUGCCAUUAUGUUAGGUACCACCAUGCACAUGACUGCCAAGGUCUCUAUUUUGUGAAGUAAAUCACGACCAAUCUGCCACUCUCCCAAAGUUGCAAAGCCUUUCUCUUUCAUCAGAGAGCUAUUUCAGGUACAGGAGCUUAUAGGAGCUUGAGCUCUUUAAGGGAAACUCCUCCCUUAUUCCCAUCCACCACCACAGCAUCAUGUCUUGCUGCAGCUACUGGCAUAUCCUGUCUAACCCCAUCCCCCAAUAUGACUGCAGUACAAACAAGGAUAGAAAGACAACAACAAAAUUUAAGGACUGCACUGAAGAUGCGCAGGGAAAAAAAUACCCAUCACCAAACAAACAAAGGACAUACACUUUCAGAAGAAAAGCACCAAAGCAUCCCCUUUUGACUUUCACUGACAUUCUGGUUGGGACCUUUUUUUGGGAACAACUGGUUUUGUCUUGGGGCCUUUUUUAUCACACAGUCUUCGGGUAAAUGUUUCCUCCUAAGUUGUCUGAAACCAAGACACAUACCUACAUGUCAAAGAGCUUUAAGUGAAGAAUAUCAAACUCUUGCUAUCUCACCACCAUUUUCAGCUAAGCUGACAGGAGAGCUGGGCUUUGUCUCAGUGGAAGGGGAUAACACGGUCCACAGCUGCUGGGACAAGCAAUGGGUCAGUCUGAGCACAAAGAACCAGUGUGAACCCGUGCCUCCUGAAGCAAUCACACUUAAGGUCAUAUAUUUUCUUUGAAAAUGUCUAAUAAGGAGGAAGUUUUCAAAGAAGCACAUAAUUAAAUGGCAACUUCCAGUCUGGAAUUUUUCAGACUCCCUGAGAGGACAGAUGCUGUUAAGACAGACUCACUCCUUGCAGAAGACCUGGGAAAAGAGUGCAAGAGAAAAAGCAGAACAGGAUGGGUGCUCAAAUAUGAGUCUUCAGAGAGCAAGAAUCAGCCAAAAUUCUGGACAGCAAGAGACCACUAAGGGAAAACAUCAGCAGGAAGGGACCUAAGGACUGUUCAUGAAGAACUGUUAGCCAGGACAGAGAGGUGAAAGCAUUCUCAGGCAUGUCUCCACAGCUAAGCCGUAUCAUGAGGAAGCCGCAGUUUUACAUGCUUUCGCAUGUGCACAGCUCUGUUUCCCUGAGCUUCCUGCCUUCCCCCUCAGCCAUACCACCACUGGAUGUCGGGUCCCUGACAGCAGGCAACAGCCCCUACACUGGAGCGACUUUUGGAGGUUUUAUUGAGGCUACUGGGGAAAUGCUGCAGUAUUCCAAGAAAGGAGAAAAAAAGCCUUGAAGAAUGCCUGUAAAGUAUGUCAGUCUACUAUGGAGACCUUCACCUGGACCAUUUCUAGUCCCAGGCUGUGCUUGGUCCAUUCUCAUUGCUUCACCAACAUCCCUAGCAGCAAAAAACUGCCUGCCAGCAGCCUAUCAAAUACUCCAAUAGAGUGACUUUAUGCUCUCAGCAGGAAUGAUGGACAGAUGGUUCCCACAGAAUUUAAAACCUUCUCCAGCAAGCUGCAAUGUCAUGGGCAAGUCUUUACAGAAUCCUGCAUUGAGAGCUCUGCCUCUGCUGUCACAUCAUCCAUGAGUGGCCAAGAGCUCAGCAAGCUUCACUGUUUUUGACAGGUCAUACCAAUUGUUCUGAAAAGACUAUGCCUGUUGAGCUUGUCUUAAAUCACUUUCCUAAGUAACAGGAUUAAAUGCAGAAAGCUGGCAUUAAAAUAAACUUGCUAACUGGUAAACCUAGUGCCCCACCAUCACAGAAAGAGUGUGGGUGCUCACAGUAAGACCACUGGGUAGGCAAGGGUUGUACUGUUUAAUUCCAUGUGACCUCAUAGACCAUAGCUGUGUUUUCCUUAUACCUGCCCACACUAAUACACGUUUGCAAUUCGUGCAUUAAAGCAUUAGUAAAACAGAUUAAAAAUGCAAAAGAACAGGACCUUUGCAUGGCUUAAUCUCAGCCAGAGCUGCUAAAACUUAAUGCUAGCCAAGAUUUUGAAUGAGAAGAAAUCUAAGCCUGGGUUUUAAACUAAUUCCUAACUAUCAAGAGUUGCAGGGACAUGUAUAGAAAGCUACAAGGUGGGGAGGAAAGAAUGGGCUUGUGUGAGAGCACUGAAUACAGCAGAGAAGUCAGGGUUUUAGAGAGUCUCACAUAAGACUAUCAGCUACAAGGCAACUGAGAGAUGUGGCAGAGGUGCUUACAGUGAUAAGGGGUCUGAAAAAAACAAAGAACAAUCAGUAAUUCAGCACCUUUAUUUUUUAAUGCAACAGCCAGAAGACAACAGAAGGUAUUGGGAGUCAGCACCACACCAAAGAGGACAGUUUGUAGGCAAAAUCACCAACCACCUUGCAAAGCAAUCUCACAGAAACCAAAAUACUGAGGUACCUGACAAGGAGGGUGAACAAGCUCAAGGGAUACAAAUCCCUAACAAUAUAGAAAUCACAUCCUUCUCAUGAAUCUCUAAGCUGACCUCUUCCUGGGCAUCUGCUGACCUCCAUGACCAUAUGCUCCUGGGCUAAAGCAGCCUUGAAUUCAAACCAGUGCAGAGAGUCACUACUACCUGCUCACAAGGCUUUGGCAUGGCUAUGGACUGGAGAGGCCUCAGGUUUGGUACCAUCCAGCCAGCUCCUCUUGAGUCCUCACCACAACACUCUACACAGCUUACCCCAGGGAUUCACCAAAAGGCACCAGGGCACUGCAGGCUUCCUAUACCACUAUUCCCAGCACUACAGGAUUUGUUUACUAUGAGCAGCCUUUCAGGAAGCAGUCAGGCUGGAGAGAACAAAACUGAAAGAGUGCAGAUACUACCAAAGCUGCUCUCCCUGCACAAAGGCAGACUUCACAGAAGUUCAGUAUCUAAAGAGAGGCUCAGCUCAGAAAUGAAGGAAAAGACUUUCUGCUUAGGAGAAAACCUUGGAACAGCGACCAAAAAACCUCAAAUGAAUGCCUUAGCAGCAGUAUCAAGCAGGUAAAAUUUGUUUCCAGUCUAUUAUGCAAAGGCUGACGCUGUCUGAGCUGUAACUGCAUGGCUUUGAACAGCAUAUUAAUUCAAAGUCUGUAUGAUUACACUUUACCAUUAAAGGUCACUCAGCAUUA